rnacentral:rRNA from 1 species
ACGAACGCUGGCGGCGUGCUUAACACAUGCAAGUCGAGCGGUAAGGCCCUUUCGGGGGUACACGAGCGGCGAACGGGUGAGUAACACGUGGGUGACCUGCCCUCAGCUCUGGGAUAAGCCUGGGAAACCGGGUCUAAUACCGGAUAUGACCCCAUGACGCAUGUUGUGGGGUGGAAAGCCUUGUGCGGCUGAGGAUGGGCCCGCGGCCUAUCAGCUUGUUGGUGGGGUGAUGGCCACCAAGGCGACGACGGGUAGCCGGCCUGAGAAGGCGACCGGCCACACUGGGACUGAGACACGGCCCAGACUCCUACGGGAGGCAGCAGUGGGGAAUCUUGCGCAAUGGGCGAAAGCCUGACGCAGCGACGCCGCGUGAGGGAUGACGGCCU